CAAUAGCGUAUAUUAAAGUUGUUGCAGUUAAAAAGCUCGUAGUUGAAUUUUUGCUUGCCGCCGAUGUCGGAACUUCCGUACGUUCGGCGGCGUGCAUCCUUGGGUGGAACCUGCGUGGCAUUAGGUUGUCGUGCAGGGGAUGCUCAUCGUUUACUGUGAAAAAAUUAGAGUGUUCAAAGCAGGCUUAUGCCGUUGAAUAUAUUAGCAUGGAAUAAUAAGAUAGGACCUUGGUACUAUUUUGUUGGUUUGCGCACCGAGGUAAUGAUUAACAGGGACAGUUGGGGGUAUUCGUAUUCCAUUGUCAGAGGUGAAAUUCUUGGAUUUCUGGAAGACGAACUACUGCGAAAGCAUUUACCAAGGAUGUUUUCAUUAA
rnacentral:rRNA from 1 species